ensembl:lncRNA
UGGCAACGAGAAGACCACAGAACGACCCACUCUCAGCGGUGGCCAACAUCUUGAAUUUCCAUUCAUGGUUGGUCACAUUUGAAGUUGUGGUGUUGGGGAUGUCUCCAGAUUACUUUCGGCCGGUCAGACACCUGAUCCAGGACCAGGAACACGUAACACAAGCACAUGUGCACCAUCUGGCCAGACCGUAUUUAUUAGAGAGUUGAAUCAUGUACACAUGAGUUAUGAUGUGUUGAAACACAACAUCAACCAGGGACGUGCGGUCAUAUGAGUGUACGGAGCUCCAUUUCGCUGGAACAAAGCAUCAGAACUUCAGUGCGUGGCCAUUUCUUGCCCAGCAAACAGACUCACACAGAACACAACGC